rnacentral:rRNA from 1 species
CACGUAGGGUGCGAGCGUUGUCCGGAAUUAUUGGGCGUAAAGAGCUCGUAGGCGGUGUGUCGCGUCGGCCGUGAAAACCUGCAGCUUAACUGUGGGCUUGCGGUCGAUACGGGCAUCCCUGGAGUUCGGCAGGGGAGACUGGAAUUCCUGGUGUAGCGGUGAAAUGCGCAGAUAUCAGGAGGAACACCGGUGGCGAAGGCGGGUCUCUGGGCCGAUACUGACGCUGAGGAGCGAAAGCGUGGGGAGCGAACAGG